rnacentral:rRNA from 1 species
AACGUAGGUUCCGAGCGUUAUCCGGAUUUACUGGGCGUAAAGCGCGUUCAGGCGGUUCGGCAAGUCGGGCCUGAAAUCUCUCGGCUCAACCGGGAGAGGUUGUCCGAUACUGUUGGACUUGAGGGCAGUAGAGGGUGGUGGAAUUCCGGGUGUAGUGGUGAAAUGCGUAGAUAUCCGGAGGAACACCAGUGGCGAAGGCGACACGCUGGGCCGUACCUGACACUGAUGCGCGACAGCAUGGGGAGCAAACAGG